rnacentral:lncRNA from 1 species
ACUCCAGAUCAGCCACUCAGCAGCACCUGUGCGGCCGGCACAGUCCCCGGACCACCUUGCUGCACAGUAAAGGGGAGGAAAAACAGUGACUGGGAGCUGCUCACAACGUCCUUGGGGGAUGUACAAGUGAUAACACACCGACCAGAACACACUCACGCUGCGGCUGGCUCCGUGCUUCUACAAACUGCACUCUGUACUCCGGGCGCUUUGGAACGGUGUGGUUCCCCGAGAGCCUACUCCCUCCAGACCAGCGAGCUACAGUCUCUGGAAUGGUGUGGUUCCCCAGAGCCUACUUCCUCCAGACCAGCGAGCUACAGUCUCUGGAAUGUUGUGGUUCCCCGAGAGCCUACUCCCUCCAGACCAGCGAGCUACAGUCUCUGGAAUGGUGUGGUUCCCCGAGAGCCUACUCCCUCCAGACCAGUGAGCUAUAGUCUCUGGAAUGGUGUGGUUCCCCAGAGCCUACUUCCUCCAGACCAGCGAGCUACUCCCUCCAGACCAGCGAGCUACAGUCUCUGGAAUGGUGUGGUUCCCCAGAGCCUACUUCCUCCAGACCAGCGAGCUAUAGUCUCUGGAAUGUUGUGGUUCCCCAGAGCCUACUCCCUCCAGACCAGCGAGCUACAGUCACACGCAGGUACAUUUGCAGCACAAGGGGCAGGGAUUUAGAGUUUACUCUCCCAAAAAUAAUUCUUCAUGUUAUCUUUUCAGCAAAGAGGAAAUUUCACGGCUAUGUUUCAUAAGAAUAUCUCUGCCACCACAAAAAUGUCACAGAAUAGAAAGGCAACAUUCUUUCUCACCUCUGGUCUCCAACGGUAAACAGAGUCAGAGGCACACACCAGUGGCCCUCUGUGGGGCAGUGGGUGGGCUCCCAAGCCUCAGGCCAGCACGUGCGCCUUCUUUUGUCCUGGGUUUAACGGCAAAUAUAUCCUGAAAAUGGAAAACACAUUGUCAUUUGUAUAUAUUUAUCUGGUAUUUUUGCAAGCAAGACGAGAGUCUGGGAGCAGUUCUUAGAACAUUGAACCAAGUGCAGAAAUAGUUAGGAAUGUGACAGAACAGAAUGCACACUGAUUCCUGCGGCUUGGCAGAGACAGCUGGACCUGCCAGACCUGUGACACAUGCACCUGAAGUGGGGUCCACUCAAUCACACCCAGCUCGGGGGUCUGCUCGCCGAAUUCAGAAGGAACCGAAUUACUGUCUGCAAAUAAUGGGACUUGGGGCCCUGUAAGCAGCCAGGAUUUGACCCCCUCUCUACAACUCAACAACAAAAGAAGAAACAACCCAAUUAAAAAACAGGCAGACAGCUUUCAGCAACAAGUGGCCAGCAGCACAGGCAACGGUGUUCUGUGUCACUGACCACCAGGGGGAUCAUGUAGACUUUGGGAAUGGCAGUGACGGCUGCACAACAGUGCGGCAUACUCGAUGCCACUGACCUGCAUACUCAUGUGGUGAAUUCCAUGUUGUGUGUCUUUUCUCACAGUAAGAAUAAGGCGGUCUGUAGAAGAGCUUCAGGCAAGCACAACCACAGUGUGUUCUUGCCCUGAGCGCCAGACCUCAGCUCCCACCGCCAUCCACACCUGCUUCGCUCUUCUAGGCCCGGUUCAGUCACAGCCAUCACGGUCCACUCCACCACCCCGCCCAGAAUCUCGCGGCCAACUUCGGCUUCUCCCCUACUCAGCCCUGCAUCGAGUUCCUCAUCAAACAGUUUUCUCCCUCCUCUCACACACGCGUCAGCCCCACUUGACCCCAAGAGUCCCUCAGUGUUCCCCAACCCCUCUACUGUACCAUCAGAGAGACCUAACGAAAGGUGGCCUGCAGGUGCCCCUUCCAAGUCUGGAAAACAGCAAAGAGCAUGCCUGUGGCUGCCAUCACAGCAUCUCCCAGCACAGACAGCAGGGCCACUGCGAGGGCCUGAGCUACGCCCGCUGGCCGAGACCACACAGCGCUGCUGACCUCCACGCACAGCACUGAUGAGGACUUGUGACUGCUCUCUUGAAAAAGUCCUUCCACUUUUCCCACCCCAUUCCCAACCUUAAUUUCAAUAUUUAAUUUCACAAUUGUGUUUCUUAGGUAUUUAAAAAUAUAAAAAUAUCCUGAAAUCUACAAGACAGCAAGAGCAUCUGUGAUACCCCCGAAAGCAGGAGCACGCUGCCCUUCAGUGGGCGUGAGCAUGGCACACGUGUGACCAAAGCCCAGGUGCCACCCUCCAGUCCUUCAAAGGCCUGAGUGCAGCCGAAUCACAACCCAAUGGAGGCUUUGACAGGAUGGACCCAUGAUCGUUAGCCACAGACUCGGGAAGUGCCAUGGGGAGAGGAACGCAGGAGGCCUCGACUCCCUCAGGGGCCCACUGCGGGCUUUGGAAAAGGCCAUGCUCAAGAGCAAUGACAAGCAAGGAUUAGGUGUUACAAUGGUCAUAUGAAUAGGAUUAGUUUUUGGUAAUAAUAAUAGAAUUUAAAAGGCAUGAAUGCUCCAACAUAGAAAACAGUCCAUACAGCAGACUCAUAGAAAGAUAAUCAUUUAAAGUAACACUCUGACCUCAGAAUCAGCCCCUAGAGCAUUCUGCGCUGGAUGAGAAGCCCACAAAAGCAUUUCAGGCAUGGAAAGCCAAGACACUGUGGCAAAAAAUGUCCUACAUGAAGGACCUCAAUGGGUAAGACCCCAGUGGAAAGAAGGGGCCAUCAAAGGAGGAGGAGAGAACUUCCACUUUUCUUAUGGCCCUGUCUACUGUCGGAGAUUGCAGAUUCAAAAGGCUUCUAUAGCCUAGGCAGCUCAUGUCAAGAGCCUAGGGUGAUCACUGAUGUCAUACAUAACAGUAUUAACUGUUACAUUAACAACAGGAGUCACUGUGCACUAACUUCCCAUGUAUGACAUCCGUCCUCAGUGAGUUAUGAGAGUUAACAGUAAAUCUUGUUCUCAAAGAUUUACUUUGUUUUAGUGUAUUAAGUGGAGGGUAUUCUUAUGUCUUGUAAGUUUUAGAUAAGCCUAAGUGCCCAACGCCAUUGCUUGUUUCCUUGGGUGCUUCUUCAAUUAGUGAUAAAACUUUUCUCAAAGAAAAAAGUGUAUUAUGGCAAAAAUUAAAAGAAAAAUAACAAAGGAAGAGUGGUAGGGAGGGAGGGAGGAUGGGGUGGGAAGUCUCAUUAUGUACUUAAAACUGUACGAGAUAUGUGAAAUAUGUUCCAUUUAUAUAAAUAAAAAUUUAAAUAAAAAAUUAUUUGCA